GAUGAAGAACGCAGUGAAAUGCGAUAAGUAAUGUGAAUUGCAGAAUUCAGUGAAUCAUCGAAUCUUUGAACGCACAUUGCGCCCAUUAGUAUUCUAGUGGGCAUGCCUGUUCGAGCGUCAUUAAGUCCACUUAAGCCCUGCUUAGUGUUGGGAGACUGCUCCAGCGGUGCUACCCUGUAGCUACCCUGCAGCUCCUCAAAGACAGCGGCGGAGUUGUGGUAUCCUCUGAGCUUAGUAACUUGUUCUAGCUUUCGAGUACACCACUUCCACUGCCGUAAAACCCUUAAUUUUUAAUGGUUGACCUCGGAUCAGGUAGGAAUACCCGCUGAACUUAAGCAUAUCAAUAAGCGGAGGA
rnacentral:misc_RNA from 1 species